UACGUAGGAUGCAAGCGUUGUCCGGAUUUAUUGGGUUUAAAGGGUGCGUAGGCGGCCUAUUAAGUUAGUGGUGAAAAAGUUCGGCUUAACCGGAUACCCGCCAUUGAUACUGAUAGACUUGAGUGCGACAGAGGGUGUUGGAAUGUGUGGUGUAGCGGUGAAAUGCUUAGAUAUCACGCAGAACACCAAUUGCGAAGGCAGAUGCCUAUGUCGUAACUGACGCUGAGGCACGAAAUCGUGGGGAGCAAUCAGG
rnacentral:rRNA from 1 species